rnacentral:rRNA from 1 species
ACGGGAGGCAGCAGUGGGGAAUAUUGCACAAUGGGGGAAACCCUGAUGCAGCGACGCCGCGUGAGUGAAGAAGUAUUUCGGUAUGUAAAGCUCUAUCAGUAGGGAAGAAAAUGACGGUACCUAACUAAGAAGCCCCGGCUAACUACGUGCCAGCAGCCGCGGUAAUACGUAGGGGGCAAGCGUUAUCCGGAUUUACUGGGUGUAAAGGGAGCGUAGACGGCAAAGCAAGUCUGAUGUGAAAUGCGGGGGCUCAACCCCUGAACUGCAUUGGAAACUGUUUAGCUAGAGUGCAGGAGAGGUAAGUGGAAUUCCUAGUGUAGCGGUGAAAUGCGUAGAUAUUAGGAGGAACACCGGUGGCGAAGGCGGCUUACCGGACUGUAACUGACGUUGAGGCUCGAAAGCGUGGGGAGCAAACAGGAUUAGAUACCCUGGUA